GAAAUUGAUCUGCUUAUUGUCAUUCUGCCCGACAAUAACGGAUCAUUAUAUGGUGAUUUGAAACGCAUAUGUGAGACCGAACUGGGCAUUGUCUCUCAAUGCUGUCUGACGAAACAUGUCUUUAAGAUGAGCAAA